rnacentral:rRNA from 1 species
UGGCGGACGGGUGAGUAACGCGUGGGUAACCUGCCUCAUACAGGGGGAUAACAGUUAGAAAUGACUGCUAAUACCGCAUAAGACCACAGCACCGCAUGGUGCAGGGGUAAAAACUCCGGUGGUAUGAGAUGGACCCGCGUCUGAUUAGGUAGUUGGUGGGGUGACGGCCUACCAAGCCGACGAUCAGUAGCCGACCUGAGAGGGUGACCGGCCACAUUGGGACUGAGACACGGCCCAA